AAUGAGUAAUGCUAAUGUUUGUUGAAAUCUUGAAGCCCUGACUUUCUGUUCAGAGGAAGAGCAGUGAACUCGAUCUCCUCUUUAACUGUGUGGGCCACUGCUAGGGCCCUGCAGCCAGCAAUCCCACAGUCUCUCCUGCUGGAUUAAGUGGCCGAUGCCUGACACGGCCUGGUAUUUCGGGUGGGGAGGUAGGAAAUAAUAAGCAGUGAUUUCAUUUGUUUCUACAAAUUACAGCUGGUGUGCUGAGUCCUUCCUUGGGGCCUUGUGUCAAGGGCUCGGGACCCUGCUGGGGCAGGGGAGGCAGCUCCUGCUCAGUUGCCAUCAGUGAUGAGUGUGACACGUGCAAUGUACAAGUCCCCUAAAUGUUUACAUGCCACGAUGAGGCAUUUUAAUAGGUAAAAAAUUAAAAUCCAUACUUUUUCUGUCUUUAAAGCACAGCUCAAAAUGGCCUCUGCAGAAUAAACGGAAUGAGCUAGGUGUGGAACUCCAGGCACAGCAGUCAAUUAAGGGCUGUUCAUUAACAUUUCAAGCACUGCAGAUAGGGCAUUGUGAGAGCAGCGAUGAUGAUGUCUGCAAUGUGCUUGGCCCUUCAUAUGUGUCUGAUCCAGUUUACUUUCGGGGACAUCCGUCAUCACCAUUGGAAUCCAGACACACACCAUGAAACGAACAAAGCCUAAAGCUGACUUCGCAGAUAAGGAAACUGAACUGAAGGGCAGAAACCAAGUGAAGAGAAUCCUGGCAGGCCCAUCAGCGGCAUAGGCAGGGCCAGAAACACAGACUCAGCCUUGCAGAACUACAUUGAGAUGCAGGUGAUGUCAUUUUCUUUUAGGGUUAAGUUCGUUUAUCACCUGUGAGGAGUUUGCCUCGUGAAAGAGCAACAGAUGGGUGAACAGUAUAGAGGCCAGGUUACUCUGUGUCUUUUGUAAUUGAUGACAAAUCUAAACUGCUACACGGGGCGACAAGAGCAAAACCAGAGGCGUCCCAAUGAAGAAACGUAGAAUGAUAGGUUUUAUUUUUUGCUGAAAACCAUGCGAUAUGAAAAAUAUUAUUUUUU
rnacentral:lncRNA from 1 species